rnacentral:sRNA from 1 species
UGCAUGACGACAGGUCGCGUGGUCUGAGU